AGUCGAACGGCAGCACGGGAGCAAUCCUGGUGGCGAGUGGCGAACGGGUGAGUAAUACAUCGGAACGUGUCCUGUAGUGGGGGAUAGCCCGGCGAAAGCCGGAUUAAUACCGCAUACGCUCUACGGAGGAAAGGGGGGGAUCUUAGGACCUCUCGCUACAGGGGCGGCCGAUGGCAGAUUAGCUAGUUGGUGGGGUAAAGGCCUACCAAGGCGACGAUCUGUAGCUGGUCUGAGAGGACGACCAGCCACACUGGGACUGAGACACGGCCCAGACUCCUACGGGAGGCAGCAGUGGGGAAUUUUGGACAAUGGGCGCAAGCCUGAUCCAGCAAUGCCGCGUGUGUGAAGAAGGCCUUCGGGUUGUAAAGCACUUUUGUCCGGAAAGAAAACUUCGGGGUUAAUACCCCUGGAGGAUGACGGUACCGGAAGAAUAAGCACCGGCUAACUACGUGCCAGCAGCCGCGGUAAUACGUAGGGUGCGAGCGUUAAUCGGAAUUACUGGGCGUAAAGCGUGCGCAGGCGGUCCGCUAAGACCGAUGUGAAAUCCCCGGGCUUAACCUGGGAACUGCAUUGGUGACUGGCGGGCUAGAGUAUGGCAGAGGGGGGUAGAAUUCCACGUGUAGCAGUGAAAUGCGUAGAGAUGUGGAGGAAUACCGAUGGCGAAGGCAGCCCCCUGGGCCAAUACUGACGCUCAUGCACGAAAGCGUGGGGAGCAAACAGGAUUAGAUACCCUGGUAGUCCACGCCCUAAACGAUGUCAACUAGUUGUCGGGUCUUCAUUGACUUGGUAACGUAGCUAACGCGUGAAGUUGACCGCCUGGGGAGUACGGUCGCAAGAUUAAAACUCAAAGGAAUUGACGGGGACCCGCACAAGCGGUGGAUGAUGUGGAUUAAUUCGAUGCAACGCGAAAAACCUUACCUACCCUUGACAUGUAUGGAAUCCUGCUGAGAGGUGGGAGUGCCCGAAAGGGAGCCAUAACACAGGUGCUGCAUGGCUGUCGUCAGCUC
rnacentral:rRNA from 1 species